GAUGAACGCUGGCGGCGUGCCUAAUACAUGCAAGUAGAACGCUGAAGGAGGAGCUUGCUCUUCUGGAUGAGUUGCGAACGGGUGAGUAACGCGUAGGUAACCUGCCUGGUAGCGGGGGAUAACUAUUGGAAACGAUAGCUAAUACCGCAUGACAACAGUUAUUGCAUGAUAACUGUUUAAAAGGGGCAACUGCUCCACUACCAGAUGGACCUGCGUUGUAUUAGCUAGUUGGUGAGGUAACGACUCACCAAGGCGACGAUACAUAGCCGACCUGAGAGGGUGAUCGGCCACACUGGGACUGAGACACGGCCCAGACUCCUACGGGAGGCAGCAGUAGGGAAUCUUCGGCAAUGGACGGAAGUCUGACCGAGCAACGCCGCGUGAGUGAAGAAGGUUGUCGGAUCGUAAAGCUCUGUUGCAAGAGAAGAACGAGUGUGAGAGUGGAAAGUUCACACUGUGACGGUAUCUUACCAGAAAGGGACGGCUAACUACGUG
rnacentral:rRNA from 1 species